rnacentral:rRNA from 1 species
UACGUAGGGGGCGAGCGUUGUCCGGAAUUAUUGGGCGUAAAGAGCGUGUAGGCGGUUCGGUAAGUCUGCCGUGAAAACCUGGGGCUCAACCCCGGGCGUGCGGUGGAUACUGCCGGGCUAGAGGGUGGUAGAGGCGAGUGGAAUUCCCGGUGUAGCGGUGAAAUGCGCAGAUAUCGGGAAGAACACCCGUGGCGAAGGCGGCUCUCUGGGACGGUACUGACGCUGAGACGCGAAAGCGUGGGGAGCGAACAGG